UAUGUAGCCUACAUUGCGUGUUUGCAUAAAAGAGCAGGUUAAUCCUUUUUUGAACAGGUUUGUUGAAAAAUCCUUCUCGAAAGAAUCGUAUUUCCAAAGUACUGUCAACUGACCACAUCUUCUUCCGCUUGUCAAAAUAGUUCUGCUCAGUUUGGUGUUUUAUUACGGAUUUAUUCUCAUAGUACCGUUUCAUAAUUUGAUAUAAUAAUAUAAUAAUAUGCUGAUAUUAAAAUUAAAAAAAAUAAAAAAUGUAAUAUUCGAACUGAAGGAAUUCCCGCCCUAGCGCAAGGACACAUUCUCCUCCAAGCACGCAGUGGAGCUGCUGCGCGCGCAGAAGGAAUAACUCGACCUUCAGUUUCACGGUCAAUCUUCAAUCUGAGGCGAAAAUAAGCAGAUAAGUUCAGUGAGUGCUAAAACCAUGGUCAACAUGAAAGGUCAUAGUUAACGACCACAUCACCAUCUUCUGCAACGCUCUGAUGUUUGCUUCAUACAACUGCUUGAACAUUUCAUACCCAGGAAACCAAGGAGAAACGCAAGAGAUUGUGCAAAGAUUCCUUUUUAAGAUGAACCCCGAGAAGGGAUCGAAAGUGGAGAAGACCACAUCGAGAAAGAAAUCAGCAGUCAGUCCAAAGGUUCUUUCACUGAUUAACAAGAUUGCGGACUUUGAAAGGAUGGAGUUAAACUUGGAGUGUCAGAUCUUCCUACAUUGCCUAGCAGAAAUUCUUGACAGUGUCAAAGACUUAAAUACUUGCUGAUUAUUUGCUUUCAUGGUUGAUUUUUUUUUUUUUUAAUGCAUCAUCUGUUGUCAAGAUGAAUUAAUCUGUUCACAGGUGGUUCAGUUUUAAGGACAAAUUAAUUCUUAUUUUUUAUUUGUUUACCAAUUUGCUAUAUUGUUGCAGUUUUGAACAAUUCUUUUGUGUGUUGUUGCAGUUAUUAAAUAUAUAUAUAUAUAUAUAUAUAUAUAUACUGUUGCAGUUAUGAAAAAAAACUGAAUUGUAUGUGGUUGCAGUUGUGAUCUAAUUUAAACUUUUGGGCUUAUUUUUUUAUUGGAAUAUUGUUGCAGUUUAGCUAUAAUCUCUAUACUGGUAUAUUGUUGCAGUUUUGUACAAAGAAUAUUAGUAAAUUGCAGUCCUGAACAAACUAUUUGUAUAUUCUUGCAGAUUGGUCAAUAAAUUAUUAAAACACA